rnacentral:hammerhead_ribozyme from 1 species
AUCUAGCUGACGAGUCUCAACUAGGACGAAACAAUUAUCAUAGAU